rnacentral:rRNA from 1 species
CCUACGGGAGGCAGCAGUGGGGAAUAUUGCACAAUGGGCGCAAGCCUGAUGCAGCGACGCCGCGUGAGGGAUGGAGGCCUUCGGGUUGUAAACCUCUUUUGUUUGGGAGCAAGCCUUCGGGUGAGUGUACCUUUCGAAUAAGCACCGGCUAACUACGUGCCAGCAGCCGCGGUAAUACGUAGGGUGCAAGCGUUAUCCGGAAUUAUUGGGCGUAAAGGGCUCGUAGGCGGUUCGUCGCGUCCGGUGUGAAAGUCCAUCGCUUAACGGUGGAUCCGCGCCGGGUACGGGCGGGCUUGAGUGCGGUAGGGGAGACUGGAAUUCCCGGUGUAACGGUGGAAUGUGUAGAUAUCGGGAAGAACACCAAUGGCGAAGGCAGGUCUCUGGGCCGUCACUGACGCUGAGGAGCGAAAGCGUGGGGAGCGAACAGGAUUAGAUACCCUGGUAGUCCACGCCGUAAACGGUGGAUGCUGGAUGUGGGGCCCGUUCCACGGGUUCCGUGUCGGAGCUAACGCGUUAAGCAUCCCGCCUGGGGAGUACGGCCGCAAGGCUAAAACUCAAAGAAAUUGACGGGGGCCCGCACAAGCGGCGGAGCAUGCGGAUUAAUUCGAUGCAACGCGAAGAACCUUACCAAGGCUUGACAUGCACGGCGGCACCGCAGAGAUGUGGUGGCAUUUGGUUGGUCGUGUGCAGGUGGUGCAUGGUUGUCGUCAGCUCGUGUCGUGAGAUGUUGGGUUAAGUCCCGCAACGAGCGCAACCCUCGCCCCGUGUUGCCAGCACGUUAUGGUGGGAACUCACGGGGGACCGCCGGGGUUAACUCGGAGGAAGGUGGGGAUGACGUCAGAUCAUCAUGCCCCUUACGUCCAGGGCUUCACGCAUGCUACAAUGGCCGGUACAACGGGAUGCGACCUCGUGAGGGGGAGCGGAUCCCUUAAAACCGGUCUCAGUUCGGAUUGGAGUCUGCAACCCGACUCCAUGAAGGCGGAGUCGCUAGUAAUCGCGGAUCAGCAACGCCGCGGUGAAUGCGUUCCCGGGCCUUGUACACACCGCCCGUCAAGUCAUGAAAGUGGGCAGCACCCGAAGCCGGUGGCCUAACCCCUUGUGGGAUGGAGCCGUCUAAGGUGAGGCUCGUGAUUGGGACUAAGUCGUAACAAGGUAGCCGUACCGGAAGGUGCGGCUG